rnacentral:lncRNA from 1 species
CGUACAUGUAAUUGUAGAUACUUAUUCUAGAUUUAUCUUUGUCACAGCCCAUGCAAAAGAAAAUACUCAACAUGUUAUUUCUCAUUGUUUAGCUGCCUUUGCAGUAUUAGGAUGUCCUUUACAGAUUAAAACUGAUAAUGCACCUGCUUACGAAGCUCUUCUUUCCAACAAUUUUGCCAGGAGUUUCGGAUUGACCAUAAAACAGGUAUUCCUUAUAACCCUCAGGGUUAAGCCAUUGUAGAACGAGUUCAUUUAUCUAUUAAGCUACAAUUACAAAAACUAAAACAGGGAGAUAGGUCUAUGACUCCCCAAAAUAACCUCAAUCAUGCUCUGCUUGUUUUAAGUUUUCUAAAUUGUGACUCAGAAGGUCACACUGCAGCUGAACGACACAUGUCUUCCACAGAACAACUUGGUCAAUGGAAAGGCCCAGAUCCAGUGAUUAUGUGGGGCAGAGGUCAUGCUUGUAUUUUCCCAGAAGGUGCUUUUUGUCCUAUUUGGGUACCUGAAUGCGCCAUCAGACAUGGAGGACCUAGAACCAAGAUUCAAACGGCUGAAGAUGGACCAGAGAUGCCAGAUGUAACUUCCCUCAAAAAGAAGAACUCUUGAAGGAAGAGAAGAAGAAAGAUCCCAGAGAGACCGAAUGAGGAAGCUACCCUCAAGGGAUGACCUGAGGAGACCCACGAUUCGGGCUGCGCCAGUGACUCGGCAGCCAGGGAGAGCUAGACCCGCAACCACCACGCUCCAGCCACGAUAGCUCUGGGGAGCCUUCAAAACAAGGAUUCGGGAACUCCAAACAGUGACCCAUCACCUGCUUUUUCAAAGAAAGAAGGGGGGAUAUGUGGGGAGCCUUCCAUCCUGACGCAAGAGGCUUGACGGGUCACUGCAUUUCUUGGUGACCUGGACGUGUUGUCCUGGUUCGGAGGUUGAGGGCGUGUCUUCAGAUGUGGCUGUGUCGCCCCUUGGGUUGAAUUACACUCACCUGUCCCUUGUAACCCGCCACUUCCGGCCCUUUUUUGGACGGAACUUUCUAAGAAUAAGGAUCCCCCCAAUAAGAGCCCACUUCCCAACGUGCUGGCUCCCUCUCGCCAGCCUCUCUGGCUUUCUCUUGCUCCCCCAUGUGGGGAGCCUGAGGCUGAGAGCCGAGGGAGAAGCCAUCCUAAAGCUUGCUGAAAGGUAAAGUGUGUGUGUCUGUGUUUUAUUUGGUUUCCCUGGAAAUUCACAUGAGCGACCUUAAGUUCAGCUGCCUGUGUG